UCUGGCUCAGGAUGAACGCUAGCGGCAGGCUUAACACAUGCAAGUCGAGGGGUAUAUGUCUUCGGAUAUAGAGACCGGCGCACGGGUGCGUAACGCGUAUGCAAUCUACCUUUUACAGAGGGAUAGCCCAGAGAAAUUUGGAUUAAUACCUCAUAGUAUAGUGACUCGGCAUCGAGAUACUAUUAAAGUCACAACGGUAAAAGAUGAGCAUGCGUCCCAUUAGCUAGUUGGUAAGGUAACGGCUUACCAAGGCUACGAUGGGUAGGGGUCCUGAGAGGGAGAUCCCCCACACUGGUACUGAGACACGGACCAGACUCCUACGGGAGGCAGCAGUGAGGAAUAUUGGACAAUGGGCGCAAGCCUGAUCCAGCCAUGCCGCGUGCAGGAUGACGGUCCUAUGGAUUGUAAACUGCUUUUGUACGAGAAGAAACACUCCUNCGUGNAGGAGCUUGACGGUAUCGUAAGAAUAAGGAUCGGCUAACUCCGUGCCAGCAGCCGCGGUAAUACGGAGGAUCCAAGCGUUAUCCGGAAUCAUUGGGUUUAAAGGGUCCGUAGGCGGUUUAGUAAGUCAGUGGUGAAAGCCCAUCGCUCAACGGUGGAACGGCCAUUGAUACUGCUAAACUUGAAUUAUUAGGAAGUAACUAGAAUAUGUAGUGUAGCGGUGAAAUGCUUAGAGAUUACAUGGAAUACCAAUUGCGAAGGCAGGUUACUACUAAUGGAUUGACGCUGAUGGACGAAAGCGUGGGUAGCGAACAGGAUUAGAUACCCUGGUAGUCCACGCCGUAAACGAUGGAUACUAGCUGUUGGAAGCAAUUUCAGUGGCUAAGCGAAAGUGAUAAGUAUCCCACCUGGGGAGUACGUUCGCAAGAAUGAAACUCAGGG
rnacentral:rRNA from 1 species